UAAAUGAAACGCAGCCAAAUAGAAGGACACCUGUGCUAACAUGGAUGCAAAUUGUGGGCUGCAAGCAAAUGCCUCCCCACAGGAGUAACUCUUCUGCACUGUUUCACUCUAGCCUCUCCCUCCUUCCCACCAGCAGUACAGGGAAAAGGCAUGAGGGUUUUGAUCACUCUUUCCAUGGGGUGCAGUGCUCCAAGGACGGGGACUCUCCUUGCUGCCCCCUCCACCCUGGAAAGGAAAGAAGGCGAGCAGGAAAGCCCCAAAAGGACACGUCUCCAGGUUCGCAAAGCUGCGAUUAAAGUGCUGCGUGGAGAAGGCAAAAAAAAUAGUUUUAGGAAA